rnacentral:rRNA from 1 species
CAAAAACAUAGCCGUGUGUAUAUAUAUUCGGUAGCUUCUGCUCAAUGACACUUAAAUAGCCGCAGUACCCUGACUGUGCAAAGGUAGCAUAAUCAAUUGGCUUCUAAUUAAAGUCCGGAAUGAAUGAAUGAAUGAGGGGCUGGCUUUAUAAUUGGUGGAAAUUGAAGUUACUUAUUGGGUGAAAAGACCCAAAGCCAAAUAUUAGACGAGAAGACCCUAGAAAUUUGAAUAAGUAAUUUUGUUGGGGCAACAUAGUAGCAAGUAAACCUACUAGAUUACUUGAAGCAGAGCGGGUCGAUUAAAUUACUUUAGGGAUAACAGCAUAAUACGUUAGUGUUUGUGACCUCGAUGUUGGAUUAGGAAGUUGUAGUUUAGAAAGUGAUCGAAGCGCUCUGUU